rnacentral:rRNA from 1 species
UACAUGGGGUGCAAACGUUGCUCGGAAUUAUUGGGCGUAAAGCGCACGUAGGCGGUUUGUUAAGUCGGAUGUGAAAUCCCUCGGCUCAACUGAGGAAGUGCAUCCGAAACGGCAGGCUUGAGUACUAAAGAGGGUCGCGGAAUUCCCGGUGUAGAGGUGAAAUUCGUAGAUAUCGGGAGGAACACCGGUGGCGAAGGCGGCGACCUGGGUAGAUACUGACGCUGAGGUGCGAAAGCGUGGGGAGCAAACAGG